rnacentral:rRNA from 1 species
AUUGAACGCUGGCGGCAUGCCUUACACAUGCAAGUCGAACGGCAGCACGGGAGCAAUCCUGGUGGCGAGUGGCGAACGGGUGAGUAAUAUAUCGGAACGUGCCCAGUCGUGGGGAUAACGUAGCGAAAGCUACGCUAAUACCGCAUACGAUCUAUGGAUGAAAGCGGGGGAUCGCAAGACCUCGCGCGAUUGGAGCGGCCGAUAUCAGAAUAGGUAGUUGGUGAGGUAAAGGCUCACCAAGCCGACGAUCUGUAGCUGGUCUGAGAGGACGACCAGCCACACUGGGACUGAGACACGGCCCAGACUCCUACGGGAGGCAGCAGUGGGGAAUUUUGGACAAUGGGCGGCAAGCCUGAUCCAGCAAUGCCGCGUGCAGGAUGAAGGCCUUCGGUUGUUAACGUAG